rnacentral:rRNA from 1 species
GUGGGGAAUAUUGCGCAAUGGGGGAAACCCUGACGCAGCAACGCCGCGUGAUUGAAGAAGGCCUUCGGGUUGUAAAGAUCUUUAAUCAGGGACGAAACAAAUGACGGUACCUGAAGAAUAAGCUCCGGCUAACUACGUGCCAGCAGCCGCGGUAAUACGUAGGGAGCAAGCGUUAUCCGGAUUUACUGGGUGUAAAGGGCGCGCAGGCGGGCCGGUAAGUUGGAAGUGAAAUCUAUGGGCUUAACCCAUAAACUGCUUUCAAAACUGCUGGUCUUGAGUGAUGGAGAGGCAGGCGGAAUUCCGUGUGUAGCGGUGAAAUGCGUAGAUAUACGGAGGAACACCAGUGGCGAAGGCGGCCUGCUGGACAUUAACUGACGCUGAGGCGCGAAAGCGUGGGGAGCAAACAGGA